AACUAUGGACACUUUGAUACAUAAAUGUCGGAUAUCUCAUACCCACCGUGUCAUCUCUCUCAGAAUCCCUUUUGUAACUUCGCUCGCCUCCGCCUUACUCCACUGCCGGAAAUCGCCUCAUGGCAGCGGCCAGUCUUCAAACAUAACAAAAAUUACACCCGUUACUCCUCUCCUCCUCCUCGUUACAAAUCCACAACCGGUUUCCCUUGAAUACCACCCAAAGUCGUCGAAUCUCCAUCCAAAGAUUUUGGCCAAAACCCAAAGAUACCAAUCUCGUUCAAACUAAUACCAUUGAAACGCCUCACUCCCUCUCUAACGCCCCAAACCCUGUCUCCUGAAUCUAACUGGAACUUCUCGGCAAUAUUCGGCCAAAACCCUAAGUUAUCCAAACCCCACCAAAUUAAUGCCAUGUGACCCCCUCGCCCCCCUCGUGUUGAAUUCAUCAUCAUUGGCACUCGAAUCUCACUGGAAUCGUCCAAAUUUUAAAUCUGAAAAAUGUUCGGUGAGUUUUCUUAGGUGUUCUUAGCAUUUAUUUUUAAUUAAUUAGAUGUUUUAAUCAAUUUGAGUCUAAUUAUUUUUGUUUUCUAUUUUUUUGUGCUUAUUUGGUUUAUUCCAGGUAACAAUAGUCAAUCACUUGAAUCAAUUCAUCUAAGUUUAUUUUAGUUUAAAUUUAGGUAUUUGUUUAAUUGUUUUUUUAUUAUUAGAUUUAAUUCAGUAGAUAUCCCUUCAAUUUUCUGAUUUAGCAUAAAUGAUGACGAAAUUUUAUUUUGCUACUGCUAGCUUAAUUGUCGUUCAUGGUUGAAUUUUUUAGUUUAGUAUAGUGGUGUUCACUUCAGUUAAAUUUGUUAGUUUAGUAUAAUUUUUUUUCAUCUCAGUUAGUAUAACUUGUUUAAUUCAAUUAAUUUCAAUUAGUUUUAGGUUUUUAGUUAAUCAUGGGGGCUGGUUUAGAUGUUAGUGAAUUUGUAAGUUUGGAACAAGUAAAUGGUAAUUGAGGUAAUUCAAGGGUAGGGAAUCUAGCAAUAACUGAAAUAGAACUUCCUUGAAGCUUCUAGGUGGGGAUUCUAAGGUAAAAUUCAGGAAUAAGGUGUACUAACUUGAGUAACAAGUCAGAAAAUAGAGUGUUAAUUGGAAAAGCUUAAAUUUAAAAGGACUAAUAUGUAUAGUCUGAAAAUCAGAUAGAGCCCUCAUUUGUGCCUAUAAAAAGGCAUGUCAUUGCCUUCACUCACAAGUUUUUUCAACAUCUGAAAUUGCCCCCCAAAAAUUCCCUACGUCUCGAAAAUAGAAAUUUGAAUUUCAGAUCAGAAAACCAGAUAUAGAAUUUGAAAAUCUCUUUUUCAUCUGAAAAUAUCCCAAAAAACAAAUAUAUAAAACCAAUAGAAAAAUAAAAAAUAUUGUUACAUUGAGUUUUCUAGGCCAAUUUAAAGUUCUAGCAAUUGUUUUCCUAGUGAUUGAGAUUCUAAAAAGGUUCUGGUUUAGGUUUGGUUUGAAUUUAGUUUGUUCCAGUUGAAUUCUGGUCUGUUGAAGUUUAAGAAGCUUACUGUAUUUGAUUUCAAGUAAUUUUGGGGUCAAUUAAGCUAUUUUGGUCAUCUAUUGAGUGUGUCAACUUUGAAGUUCAUUCUUGGACUUUUGAGAAGUUGUUUCGAUUCGAAAAUUAUCCUAUUGUGGCUGGUUAUAAUAUUUUGAUUUGUCACCUGCAGCUGCUGACUUCUACUUUUUCUAUUUGAUUCAAACUUCAGGUAUACAUCUCAACAUUACCUCGAUGUAGCUGACUGAAACAGAAAUAAACUAGAGCAUUUUCACGUUCUCUGUUUCAGACGUGUGUUCAUUUGAAUGAUGUAUAGAUUGUUAGAUAUAUGUUAGCUUAUUUGUGUGCUGUCUGAUAUAGUUUAGUGUUGCUUUGUAAUGACAUGAAUUUUUAACUAUAGGACUGUUGCGGACUGUACUGGACUGUUAAAUCUGAGCUUGAGUUUCUUUAUUCUACAUAAUAGCCUUAGUAUAGUGUAAUUUGAAUUCAUCUGAUAGUUGUUCAUAAAAACUUGAAACUGGCUUUAAAAUCAGAAUGUUCAUGUCAAUGUUAAACUCAAGCCUAAAAAAUAUUUUAGUAAUGCAAUACUUUAUGUUUUGACACCAGUGAGUUGAUUUUAAGAUCAGAGAAUAAAUAUUUAAAUUGGUGAAGUUUGUUCAUUAAGUUUGAUAGCUCAACUUAGUUAAUAAUUACUUUGCUCUAAUCAUUGCCUCCUGAAUUUUGCAGUAAUACGUUUAGUUAUACAUAAGCAUGGGCAAGAAACUAGAAUCAAAGAAAUCAGUAUCACCUUAUUUGUUAAAAUUGAAUUGAGGCGUGGUUUGGUUUAGCGAUCAGGGCUCCACAACCCAUUUUCAGACAAUUUGGGCCUCAGUACCCUAAUGAACUGCGCAAGUCUUCUCCUACCUUAUGUGUUCAGUUAGAACUGGGCCCAGGCUUAUGACUGGUCCACUUUUGCAUAGGACCUGGGCUAUGAUUUCUUCACACAUGCUGUUUUCAUGGCCCAAAAUGGCUGAGGAUCCGGAUUGUUUAAGUUCAUGGACCCAAUUGUUGUAAUUCUUAAACAUUGUUAAUUAAUUAAGACUAUUUCUUUUAUUAUUAGAGUCAAGUUAAUUAAAAAAAUUGUAUUGUGCUUUAGUUGAGCCUUUAAAUAAUAAAUGAGGUGAGCUCCGUUAAGCAAAAUACAUAAAUUGCGG
rnacentral:lncRNA from 1 species